rnacentral:rRNA from 1 species
GAUGAACGCUAGCGGGAGGCUUAACACAUGCAAGUCGAGGGGCAGCAUAGGGUAGCAAUACUCUGAUGGCGACCGGCAAACGGGUGAGUAACGCGUAUGCAACCUACCCUGUACAGGGGGAUAACCCGGAGAAAUUCGGACUAAUAUCCCGUAAUAAUAUCCGGAGGCAUCUUUGGAUAUUUAAAGUUCCGACGGUACGGGAUGGGCAUGCGUAACAUUAGCUGGUUGGUAAGGUAACGGCUUACCAAGGCUAUGAUGUUUAGGGGUCCUGAGAGGGUGGUCCCCCACACUGGUACUGAGACACGGACCAGACUCCUACGGGAGCAGCAGUGAGGAAUAUUGGUCAAUGGGCGCAAGCCUGAACCAGCCAUCCCGCGUGCAGGAAGACGGCCCUAUGGGUUGUAAACUGCUUUUCCAGGGAGAGAAACUUACGCACGUGUUGCGUGACUGACGGUACCCUGGGAAUAAGCAUCGGCUAACUCCGUGCCAGCAGCCGCGGUAAGCA